GGAGGUCGUUGAUGACUCGGCUCGUCUACUUUCCUUUUCCCGAAUCUGAGGGCGCCACAAGGUGCCUGAAGCGGACAAGCAGCCCAAUCUGAUUCCUCU
rnacentral:snoRNA from 1 species